GCAAGUCGAACGGUAACAGGAUGUGCUUGCACAUCGCUGACGAGUGGCGGACGGGUGAGUAAUGCUUGGGAACAUGCCUUUGUGAGGGGAUAACAGUUGGAAACGACUGCUAAUACCGCAUAAUGUCUUCGGACCAAAGGGGGCUUCGGCUCUCGCGCAAAGAGUGGCCCAAGUGAGAUUAGCUAGUUGGUGGGGUAAAGGCUCACCAAGGCGACGAUCUCUAGCUGUUCUGAGAGGAAGAUCAGCCACACUGGGACUGAGACACGGCCCAGACUCCUACGGGAGGCAGCAGUGGGGAAUAUUGCACAAUGGGGGAAACCCUGAUGCAGCCAUGCCGCGUGUGUGAAGAAGGCCUUCGGGUUGUAAAGCACUUUCAGUUGUGAGGAAAGGUUGUUGGUUAAUACCCAACAGCUGUGACGUUAGCAACAGAAGAAGCACCGGCUAACUCCGUGCCAGCAGCCGCGGUAAUACGGAGGGUGCGAGCGUUAAUCGGAAUUACUGGGCGUAAAGCGCACGCAGGCGGUUAUUUAAGCUAGAAGUGAAAGCCCCGAGCUCAACUUGGG
rnacentral:rRNA from 1 species